GGCUCAGAUUGAACGCUGGCGGCAGGCCUAACACAUGCAAGUCGAGCGGUAGCACAGAGAGCUUGCUCUCGGGUGACGAGCGGCGGACGGGUGAGUAAUGUCUGGGAAACUGCCUGAUGGAGGGGGAUAACUACUGGAAACGGUAGCUAAUACCGCAUAACGUCGCAAGACCAAAGUGGGGGACCUUCGGGCCUCAUGCCAUCAGAUGUGCCCAGAUGGGAUUAGCUAGUAGGUGGGGUAACGGCUCACCUAGGCGACGAUCCCUAGCUGGUCUGAGAGGAUGACCAGCCACACUGGAACUGAGACACGGUCCAGACUCCUACGGGAGGCAGCAGUGGGGAAUAUUGCACAAUGGGCGCAAGCCUGAUGCAGCCAUGCCGCGUGUGUGAAGAAGGCCUUCGGGUUGUAAAGCACUUUCAGCGGGGAGGAAGGCGAUAAGGUUAAUAACCUUGUCGAUUGACGUUACCCGCAGAAGAAGCACCGGCUAACUCCGUGCCAGCAGCCGCGGUAAUACGGAGGGUGCAAGCGUUAAUCGGAAUUACUGGGCGUAAAGCGCACGCAGGCGGUCUGUCAAGUCGGAUGUGAAAUCCCCGGGCUCAACCUGGGAACUGCAUUCGAAACUGGCAGGCUAGAGUCUUGUAGAGGGGGGUAGAAUUCCAGGUGUAGCGGUGAAAUGCGUAGAGAUCUGGAGGAAUACCGGUGGCGAAGGCGGGCCCCCUGGACAAAGACUGACGCUCAGGUGCGAAAGCCGUGGGGGAGCAAACAGGAUUAGAUACCCUGGUAGUCCACGCCCUAAACGAUGUCGAUUUUGAAGGUGUGCCCUUGAGGCGUGGCUUCCGGAGCUAACGCGUUAAAUCGACCGCCUGGGGAGUACGGCCGCAAGGUUAAAACUCAAAUGAAUUGACGGGGGCCCGCACAAGCGGUGGAGCAUGUGGUUUAAUUCGAUGCAACGCGAAGAACCUUACCUGGUCUUGACAUCCACAGAACUUUCCAGAGAUGGAUUGGUGCCUUCGGGAACUGUGAGACAGGUGCUGCAUGGCUGUCGUCAGCUCGUGUUGUGAAAUGUUGGGUUAAGUCCCGCAACGAGCGCAACCCUUAUCCUUUGUUGCCAGCGGUUCGGCCGGGAACUCAAAGGAGACUGCCAGUGAUAAACUGGAGGAAGGUGGGGAUGACGUCAAGUCAUCAUGGCCCUUACGACCAGGGCUACACACGUGCUACAAUGGCAUAUACAAAGAGAAGCGACCUCGCGAGAGCAAGCGGACCUCAUAAAGUAUGUCGUAGUCCGGAUUGGAGUCUGCAACUCGACUCCAUGAAGUCGGAAUCGCUAGUAAUCGUAGAUCAGAAUGCUACGGUGAAUACGUUCCCGGGCCUUGUACACACCGCCCGUCACACCAUGGGAGUGGGUUGCAAAAGAAGUAGGUAGCUUAACCUUCGGGAGGGCGCUUACCACUUUGUGAUUCAUGACUGGGGUGAAGUCGUAACAAGGUAACCG
rnacentral:rRNA from 1 species